UACGAAGGGGGCGAGCGUUGUUCGGAUUUACUGGGCGUAAAGGGCGCGCAGGCGGCUACAUUUGUCAGGCGUGAAAGCCCGGGCUUAACCUGGGAACUGCGUUUGAUACGGUGUGGCUAGAGUUCGGGAGAGGAGAGUGGAAUUCCCAGUGUAGAGGUGAAAUUCGUGAGAUAUUGGGAAGAACACCGGUGGCGAAGGCGGCUCUCUGGACCGAUACUGACGCUGAGGCGCGAAAGCGUGGGGAGCAAACAGGG
rnacentral:rRNA from 1 species